ACGAAGCCUUCGAUUUUAUCGAUGUCAAGAAUAUUGCGGACCGUAGGCUGUUAUUGAGUCUUAUUAGGACUUCCAACGUGUUAAUAUUAAAUCUACUUGUUUCGUGACUUCGUUAGUUAGGAUCAAGACGCGUUCAAACAAAUGAGAGAGACAUUUGAAAUCCUUACAGCGAGAAAGCAAUUAAAUUGGCGCCCCGCUGCUCUCUUCUUUCGUGGAAUCAGCCGGUGAGAAAGCGGUAAAAUUCGAUUAUUACCGAGCUUAAUGGCGCGGCUUAAACAUCUUUAGUUCAUCUUUGCCAAUGUCCAUCGCGAUUUUCGGCUUCACACUCGAAUGCUUGGCAAUUUUGUGAUCGUCAACGACUCGAAUGGAACGGCAGUUUUCACUGCCACGCAUUUGCGACGAGUUCCUUUUAAAAGCUAUAGUUUCGGGGUGCCUACUGUCAACAAGAAGAUGAAGAGGAUCAACGCUCUCUGUUGUUUCACGCGCCGCGCCGCCGAUGACUUGGGGACACUCGGGCUCACGGUGAAGAGCAAUAACAGUUUUCUAGAAGGAUCUGAUCAUGGAACGCUGGCAGGCUGAUAAAUCCUCUGGCAACAGAACUGACAAUGAGUGAAAAACCUCAGCACUUACCUCACAAUCUUCGCGAGAUUCCCAUCGUCCAAGAUGGAUAUAUCGUCGAAUUUCGAGAUACGUAUUAUUUAACAAGUAGAAGAUAGAAAUUAGUCAAUUAAA